AGGACAUUGAAGUCCUAUUUGAAUCCUAUGGCAUCCAGCUGCCCCUGCUGAAGGCAUUGAUUGACAGGUUACUUCAGGACGGGAUGGAGGAGCUGCUGCAUGAGUUCAACACCAACAGGAGAGACAAGGGCGAGAGGAAGGAGCCCAGCUCCAACGUCAUCACAGAGUACACAAGCGCUGUGAAGUAUGACGUCCCCAGUGAGGUGCUGACCAAGUCUGAGGUGCAUGGAGGGGAGGAGGAGGCAGGAGAAGAGGGGCCGCUACAGACACCAGACAUGGCUGAUCCUAUAAAUGAGACAAAGGGGGGUCCUGCAUUAUGGGAUGCCGUAACUCUGAAUGGAGAGUUUGGCCAUGAUGGAGACGUUGAGAGUAAACUCAGAGUGACAGGAGAUGAGAGUGAUCCUGAGCCCCCUGAAGACAACCUGCACAUCCUGAGCAGCCAGGAGGACUCACUGAGGAAGAGCUCAGGGGAGAGGAAGAGGGGCAGAGACCGAGGAAAGGGUAAAGGACACAAAGGACGACAUAAACGACAACGGAAGCGUUUGGAGGACCAAGAUGAAGAGAUUGGAGAGGAUAUGUAUGAAGCUGAAGAGUACAUCUAUGAAUAUGAGGUAAACGACUCUGGACUAUUAACUUAUUGAUUAGUAUCCAAGUAUAAACACUGUGCAAAACCUGAGGUGAAUAAGAAUAAAUCCUAAAAGCCAACAUGUGGUGGGGCCUUA
rnacentral:lncRNA from 1 species